rnacentral:lncRNA from 1 species
GGAAAUUUAAGUGAAAUUGACAGACUUCAAGACAGUACACAUGUGGUUUAGUGUUAUUUAUUUUCAGUUAAGAGUUUAACAAUAAAAUGAUUUUGAUGAAUGUCUUAAAGAAUUUUUACGGAAGAACUAAAAUAAAUAAAAUAAAAUGUGCUUUUAGGAACUGUCGUAAUGAGCAAAGCACCGAUUUUAUGAAUGGAAUACGAUUUCAACAUAGAGCUGCAUUUGUCGAGCAGCUUGGACAACCCCUUAUCGUUAAAGAAACUAAAUUAAAUAACAAAUUAAAAGGUUCAGAAAUAAGAAUUGCUGUAAAAAAUUGUGGU